UGUACCCGCGGCAAGACGGAAAGACCCCGUGAACCUUUACUAUAGCUUGACACUGAACAUUGAGCCUUGAUGUGUAGGAUAGGUGGGAGGCUUUGAAGCGUGGACGCCAGUCUGCGUGGAGCCAACCUUGAAAUACCACCCUUUAAUGUUUGAUGUUCUAACGUUGGCCCCUGACCGGGGUUGCGGACAGUGUCUGGUGGGUAGUUUGACUGGGGCGGUCUCCUCCCAAAGCGUAACGGAGGAGCACGAAGGUUAGCUAAUCCUGGUCGGACAUCAGGAGGUUAGUGCAAUGGCAUAAGCUAGCUUGACUGCGAGCGUGACGGCGCGAGCAGGUGCGAAAGCAGGUCAUAGUGAUCCGGUGGUUCUGAAUGGAAGGGCCAUCGCUCAACGGAUAAAAGGUACUCCGGGGAUAACAGGCUGAUACCGCCCAAGAGUUCAUAUCGACGGCGGUGUUUGGCACCUCGAUGUCGGCUCAUCACAUCCUGGGGCUGAAGUAGGUCCCAAGGGUAUGGCUGUUCGCCAUUUAAAGUGGUACGCGAGCUGGGUUUAGAACGUCGUGAGACAGUUCGGUCCCUAUCUGCCGUGGGCGCUGGAGAAUUGAGGGGGGCUGCUCCUAGUACGAGAGGACCGGAGUGGACGCAUCACUGGUGUUCGGGUUGUCAUGCCAAUGGCACUGCCCGGUAGCUAAAUGCGGAAGAGAUAAGUGCUGAAAGCAUCUAAGCACGAAACUUGCCCCGAGAUGAGUUCUCCCUGAGACUUUAAGUCUCCUGAAGGAACGUUAAAGACGAUGACGUUGAUAGGCCGGGUGUGUAAGCGCAGCGAUGCGUUGAGCUAACCGGUACUAAUGAACCGUGAGGCUUAACCUU
rnacentral:rRNA from 1 species